UGUCUAUGUGAUCUUGGCUCAGUCUGUAU
rnacentral:sRNA from 1 species